AUGGAUAGCGAACACCACGAGAUAUUCCAAUUUGCUAUUUCUCUCCUCUCUGAGUCUCCCACUUUCCUGCACUCUCUCGUUCCACCGCCAGCUGUUCCGCUGGCCUUCCGCGUGACCGAUUAUGCCGUACGGAGAGUGUCCGAGAAGCAAAAUAUUCUCCUUCACAAUUAUUUUCUAAACAAAUAUGAAAUAGGAAAAAUGAAUGCCGAAAUUGUAUUAGUUGGUGAUGUAAGUUUUUUUUCUGAAAUUUGAAUUGUUUUAAUUCAAAAAAAUGGUGCAAACACGCUCCACUGCACACCUGUAAAUUUCGCGGGUCUCGAAGCGAUUAUUAAAUGUUUAAUACAAGUAUUAACUGAAUUUAAUUUUCUUAAGAAAAUCGUUUCAAGACCCAAAAAAAUUAGUUGAAAGUGCGGUAGAGCGUAUUUUCAUCAAUUUUUGCUGCAAAAACAUCUAUAGCCCAUUUGUUUUUGUAAAAAUAACCUAAAUUCGCUAGAAAAACCGCGAAAACUAAAAAAACAGUUGAAACUAAUUUUGGUAAUAUUUUUUUUAAAAAUAAGCAAAUACGCUCCACUGCACUUACAACUAAAUUUUCUGGGUCUUGACACGAUUUUUCAAUUUUUCAACGUCCAAUUUAAUGAAAAGUCACAAAAAACUCAAAUUUUCGCGCGCUUGCACACCCCAAAAUUUUGAAUUCCAGGCGUUUUUCAAUGAAAGAGCCCAAUAUCACGGAUUUCUGCGUCUCAACUACCGAAUUCUUCAUCGCUAUGAGCAAAUUCAUGAGAUUUUCCUUUUUUCGCUAAACAAUGCGAGAACAAUGGCCCAGCGAGAGUAUGAAAUUAGGAAAUUAGAAGGUAUUAAUGCAAUUAUUAUUAGCACUCGAAACAUGAUUCUAUCCUGCGAGAAAAAGAAUGAAUGCAAGCUGUUCAGCGAUUGA